UCCUUUUCCUCGUCGCUGGAGCGGCUGAGGUGCUGUGAGGCGUCUCCAUUUCAGAGUGGGGACGGGCCCCUCAGACGUCCUGGCGGACGGGAGCGUUCUGUUUCCCUAACACUUGCCUCCCCGGCGGCCAGCGUUACAGACGGUUCUGCCGUAUCAGGACACGCGAUGCCUGAAGUGAUGUGUGUCCUUGGGCCGGAGAACCGAGCUCGCCUCCGUCCCCGGGCGUGCCAAACCCCACACCGCUUGCCGUCCUCCGGGACGGGGCUCGCCGUGAGCAUCGAGAGGUGCCGCCCGCGGAAGGCAACCGUCCCCACCGACUGCCUGUCGCCCAACAGGAGGCGUCCUUUGUUCCUGCAUCUUUGGUUGUGUGUGGCCUGCUGGCCGAGGGACCGCGCAGGGUGGGACUGACUCCUCGUCAGCCCGAGGCUGAAAUGACCUCCCGCUUCACAGCUGGAGGAAGGCAGCUACUCUGACGGAAAGAAGAAAUGGAAAUAGAAGGUAGUGAUCACAAAAUAGGCAGAACCAUAGAAAGAUCCCUCCGGGCUGCCAGGAGAGCAGGUGGCCUGGGUCCGGAGGUGUGUAGCGGGGGGGAUGGGAGCUAGAAUGCACCUGCCGGGCAGAGGGAGCACAGGCCGUUCUCCCUGCCCCUCCUGUACCUGCAGCAAAGGCCGCCCUCCAGCCCAGACUGAGUAACUCGGGCCAUGAGGGGACGCGGCGGGUGGCCGUGUCCGAUCUGGGAUGACCGUCUGUGGGAGGAAGCUACGUCAUAGGAACCCCUGUGGGGGCUUGAACGAUCCAGUAUUGCGCGUGAUUGAGGACGCUGGAGAAGGUUGUCGUCCACGGUCGAUCUCCCAGAAGGGUGGGCUUGUUGGGGCUGCGGGUGAGGGAAGGGGUCUACGCUUCUCCUGUGAACGUCUGUCAGUCACCCUGACUCGUGAGUGGGGGACGUCAGUGUGCUGCCCCACGUGGCCUCCCUGUUCUCUCUCUGCCCCUCCCCUGCUCAUGCUCUCUCUCUGUUGCAAAAAUAAAUAAAAACAUUAAAAAAAAAAAUUAAAAAAAAUGAAGACAGAGUGAAGCCAGCCGCUUUCCCAAGGCGCGGGCAGCACAUCUGGGCGCGGCGACGGGCCUGUGAGUUACAGACGGUUCAGCGGGAGCACAGAGGGCAGGGCUGAGGGCCUCACAAAGGGGGAGAGGUCUGUCGCAGAUGAAGCAGAUACCACACGGGGCCCGAUCAUACGGGGUAAAAGAAUACAACUUUUAUCUUGAUGUCAGUGGGUGAGCCACCGGAGAUUUGGGGCCAUGCUUCUCUGACUGGCGUAAACAUCCAUUUGCCUGCGGAACAAGCCCUUGCCGAUCAACUGAGGGGAGACAGAACUGAGUUACAACUCCGGCAGCUUCUAUUUAAGGCCUUGUGACUCACCCCGUGGCGGUGCAGAGAUUGCUAAGGCCUGUGCCCUCCUGUAAACACCUGUCACUUCCCCGCUCUGCAGAAACGCUGGGGCGGAUGAGGUCACGCGCGUGGAAUGUACGGGAGCUUCUCGGAGAAAGGAACCAGGUAGGUUCGGGACGUUACUAUCGUCACCCCAGCCGUCUGGGGGUCCGCUUUCUAGCAAACCCAAGGGUCCAGAAGCCAGAAGCUACAAAAUAAGGAAAAAUAAAGGAAGGUGCCUGGCCCCAAAGAAAGCAGGAAGUAGACCAGGAAAUGGCUGUAAGGUCAGAGAUAACACGAAGCAGGAUACGCCCGGUCGUGAGGGAAGCUUCGUGGCCCCUGGAGGGAAUGACGGCAGAGGCCGGCCGCCCCACUGUGCACAGACCUCCCAGAAAAUCGAAGGCAAGUUCUCCCUGGUUUUGUGAAGCGGGGCCGUUCUGACUGCUGACUCGGGCAAGGACGUGCUUAGCUGAGUCGUCCCGUCUCUCCUGGCAUCAGGGCUCCGUGCUGUGAAUGCAAGAGGUGGUCGGAGAAAAUGAUUCUCCUUCCUACGGCUUAAUACAAGGAGGCAGGCGAGGCGCCUCGCGUGUGGGAGGAGUUUCUCACCACGUCUGGGACCCUGGUUAGGGAUCUCGCGAAAUUACCCACUGAAAGUGAUUUUCUUUUCCCUAGAAGUUCUCUAGAACAAUGGCUUGACAAACUCAGAAUUUCAUGAGCUCUGUAAAUCAGUUCCGCCCUUGAACACUUUCUUGUACACCCGCUGGCAACUCAUGAAUCCUUUCCCAAAAAAGGUAGAGUCAGUAGAAACGUGCACUGCCGCGUUUUGAGAUUCAUGUAUGAGCCAUAUGAGGGCCAAGCACUCAUUCACAUCUGCUCGCUGCUCAUCUGAUCUCACCCGUGAGAAAAAGGAGGCGGUGGGCCGGGAAGGUAGGGGUGUGGAGCCCAGCGGGUUCUUGGGGGAGGUGGGGACUGGCGGGAGCAGCCGUCAGGGGCAUCGGAGUGGCCCCAGCAGAGACUGGGUGGGGACUGGGGGCCUCGCAAGGAGCCUGGGCGUGCCGCCAUGGAGCAGGACGGAAGGGGACCCGCAGCUGCUCCAACGACCCUGAGGGCCACCCUGGACUGUUUUCCUGGUCCCGAUUGGAUUACUUUGUACCUUUCCUCCCCUCAAGCCCUUCUCCCUCCUCACCUGUGCUGCACUCGCAGCCGCAGCCGGUGAAUUAGUCUCACCUCCACCUCGUCAUCACAGGGUCAUCAACGCUGGAUUCUUCUGCACACACCUCCUUCUCCUUUCCUGGGGCAACUCCUUUCCUUCCUCAGCAUGCGUCCUGGGUCCUGUCUCUUUUUUUUUUUACUUUCUCUCUUGUUUCCAGUCUUCUGUCUCCGUGGGAUCACUCCCCACGCCCUACAAAUAUUUCCCGCCGCUACAAAUAGCAAUGUUCCCCGAGGGGUGGCUGCUCAGCUUCUCUACCCCAGCUCCGGCACCCGUCACAUGGGCCACUUUCUUUGGGCACUCACAGAUGUGCUAGACCUGGGCACUAGGUCUCAGUGAGAGGAUCUGGAGAAGAGCUUCUUCUGACGGGGACUGGUCUCUGUGUCUUGCGGGAGCCCCGCCAAUGGGGCCGAUCUGACCUUGGCUCUUGGAAAGCGGUAAUCAUCUAGACCUCUCUGAUCUUCAGCAGCCCUUCUUCUACUGACCAGGCUCUUUGCAACAAUAACAGAGUACAGUGGGGAGAUUCCAUCUGUCAAAGUCGGAGACUGAAGAUUUCAGGUGCUCUGCUGGAAUUAUCUUUCGGGGUGCAGGCUAACUGAUGAAUUAGGAGGGCAAGGUUGGGGUGGACCUGGUUUCCCAUCUAGGCAAGUUCUCUUGGCUAACAAGGACAGAUCUACGUGAAAACCAUUUACCGACAUUGAGUUAAAGGCCACCCUGGUGGACUCAACGUCUACAGGGAGACCAGAAUUUUCUUUAAAAACAAUUUGCAGUCUGUGGUAGUAAUCGUGAACACGUUCGGCAGACUUCUGAGUGCCUGUCUGAGUUUCGUUCCAGACUCCUGGUUUAUGAAAAGCCUUCGGGAUGGCAGGGGGCAGCCUUGUGUGAAUGGCCCGAGCCUGGUCACGUGAAGGAGUUGGUGGUUGAUUUAACUCAAAAUUCUGAAGAUUGUUCAGGGCUUUGAUCCAGUGCUGAGCUUGACCUCCAACAAGUGUACGGACCAACGGAUAAAGACCGAGAAGCCAACUCGGUUAAGUGUAAAUUACAAUAUGUAAUUCUUCGGCAAAUCUAUGAGGGUCCCCACUUCCCUAGAGGAAGCCUUUUACCACAGCUCUAAGUUCAGCGUUGGUCCAUGGGUUUUGAGCGACUCGUGGUUUUGCGAGAUCCUCAGAAGGCCUGAUUCUAGAAGGGCGAGUUUCACGAGGCCCGGUUGGUGAAGUUUCAGCACCAGAGAAAAGGGGAGUUCGGGUGAAGGAGGGAAGGCAGAAAAAGGGAAAAUGUGGGUGUGGAGGAUGCAGAGAAAUGUGGCUAGCGGCGGUCCAGAUGGGGAAGACGUCUCUGACACUUUUACCCCCUUCCGAUUGUCUAUUGGCUUCAGUUAAUUUAGAAAUAGGGUUUUGUAAAGAGGCACUGUAGAACCCCCGGUACUUUUAGAAGCCUCUAGGUAGCCGCUGAAAUAGCUCUGACAUUCAGAUUGUUUGGCUCUAUUGCUGGAACCUCCCAAUCCCUUCUGGAGGAAAAGCAGGUCUGGGAGGUUGUAAAUUCCCAUAACCCGUCACCCCCCAUCCCACUCCUGAAUGCCAAGGAAUGCCCGUCUAAAUAAAAAGGUAAACCGCGGCAAGAUCGAACUUGUCAAAAAGAUGAGAUUACUUGGGAAUACCAGAGGGAUUGCAAUUCAGACGCUUCAGUGGCAGGGGGCUCCGGGCUAGGGUUUGGGGCAGGCUGUGUUUCUGGGCAGCAGAUGUGAGGCUCGAGGAGCUCAGCGAGACUGCGUUAAAAAAAAAAUGCAAAAAGAGACCAGUUUGGAAACCUCCCGCAGCAGAGAAAACCAGCCCAUCCCACAAACAAAGGUCCAGUCAGCAUAUUUUGAGAGACCAGCCCGACCUGGGUCACUCCUCCCUCGGGCUUCUGGAAAACCAUAGAUAAAACUUCCCCAGGCUAGUAUGAGGCAACUUCCCAACCAACUGCCCUACCCUGCCAGAAAUUUCCAAUAUUAUCAGUCUUCGCCCUACCCUGCCAGAAACUUCCAAUAUUAUCAGCCUUCCGUAAACCGGGCACUUGCGGGAAAUCGGUCUCUCGUGCCUAAGUGUCGACUUCCUGAGAGCACGCGUGUGAGGUUCCCCGUGUUCCAUCCCGUGGCUCCACUGCACGCUGAGAUGUUUUCACAGCCACUCACCCCGAUCUGGAGCCCUCUUGCCAGUAUCCCCUCUACACCUGCCCUGACCCUCCUGUGAUGCCUGGGAGACCCCGGACCCGCCUCCGCUAGGGAGACUUGCCUGCAUUCGCUCUGCGGACACGUCCUUCCUCUGCCCUUCGCACGGAUGCGCAGCUGUGACAUCUUGUGGAGGGAAGGCCACCCAAAGCCAUCUGCAUUACACCCUUGACUGGUGUUUAUCCGAAACCAUGCAGCAGAAAGAGGUUUGGUGUUUUGCCGGAUGCUGAGUGGGCGAUCCGGUGAGGAGAGGGAGCACACACCUUUCCUUCCCUUUGUCUGGGAUCCGAAUGUGCCCUGGGUCAUUUACCCCCGAGACACGCUAGAGUUCCUUAACGUGCUGGCCACGGCUGAGGUCACGUACGAAUGAACUGUGUGUGAGAAAAGUAAAGUUGUCAGCACAGAUCUGA